CUACGAAACAUUUUUUAAAGAAAUUAAAUUUUAAAGAUUUACAAAUAGAUUUUAUAUUGGAAGGUAUUUUACUAAUUUUAACAAACAAUUUCUUCUGGUUUAAAGACUCCUUUUUUAUGCAAAUCACUGGUACGGCGAUGGGUACCAAGUUCGCACCAAGUUACGCAAAUUUAUUUAUGGCUUAUUGGGAAGAAACAAUCCUGUUCCCAAGUAGCCAUGCGGCGAACUUGGUUACCUAUCGCCGAUACAUCGAUGAUAUAUUUUUUAUCUGGAAAGAUGGAGAAGAAAGUUUAAGAGUCUUUCUUGACUUUUUAAACAACAAUAAAUGGGGGAUUGUGUUAACUUCUACAUACAAUACCCAUCAUAUUGAUUUUUUAGAUCUGGAAAUUUUUAUCACAGAAUCAAGCAUCCAUACUAGAAAUCAUUUUAAAGAGGUAGAUGCUAACAGCUAUAUCGAGAAAAACAGCUGUCACUACCCUCCAUGGUUAACGAAUGCCCCUAAAAGUCAAUUUCUAAGACUCAGAAGGAAUUGUACAAAAGACUCCGAUUACACAACUCAGGCAGACGUAAUUAAACAACAAUUUUUACAAAGAGGUUAUGAUGAGGAAGCACUUUCAAAAACUUUAGAGGAAGUAAAAAAGAUGAAAAGAAAGGACUUGAUAAAACAGAAGGGAAUAAAGUUGAAGAAAAAUAAAAAUAAAAACAAAAACCACAUUAAUAUACCCUUCAUAUGCAACCAUAGUGGUAAUAAUGGAAAAAUUAGGAAAAUUAUUAAAAAAUAUUAGCCAAUUCUGCAGGAGGAUCCAGUUUUAAAACAAAUAAUACCAUCAGAACCCAAGAUAGUCUACAGGGGCUGUAAAAACAUGAAACAGAUUUUAGUAAAUAGUAGUUUUAAAACCAAAC